rnacentral:lncRNA from 1 species
CAACAACGCCAGAGCCGGGAGCUGUGUCUGUGACCUACACCACAACUCAUGGCAAUGCCAGAUCCUUAACCCACUGAGCGAGGCCAGGGAUAGAACCUGCAACUUCAUGGUUCCUAGUUGGAUUUACUUCCACUGCACCACAACGGGAACUCCACAAGCCAGUGAUUUUGUAGACUCUUUCUCUAUUUGGGUUUGCCUAAUGUUUCUUUAUCAGGAAUCUGAUUAGAUUUAGAUUAUACAUUUUCGGCAGGAAUCCUACCAAAGUGGUGUCAUAUUUUCCUCAUGCAUCAUAUCAGGGUGCCUUAAAGAGUUCAAAGUGAUAAUAGGAGACACCCGUUUAUCACAGCACCCACCGAUACCUAUCAUAUUUAGGAACAUGAUACCCAUCCCCUGGAACAACUCUCCAAACAAAAUAGUGGCAUCACUCAAACAAACUCAGGUAUUUAUUUGGAUCGCCAAACAAACUCAGAUAUUUGUAUAAUCCAGACCCAUCUUCUGCCAAAGAUCAUGGAAAGAUUUGUUUCUGCCUGAGGCAAGUGGGGAAGAUGACAUAAAUUUUGGUUUCUUUCUCUCUAGGGUGCUAAUCACGCUGUGUCAUCCACCUGAUUUGUGAGUGUAAAUUUAAUGUGCAGAGACUUCUAUUCAGGAGAUUAAUGGUGGUUCUACAUGUGCUCUAUAAGGGAAAAAGCACACAGAAAACUGCAUUCUCCUUUUAAACUCGGUCCACUUUCUCCUUACAUGUCUUAAGGUCUUGUAAUGGUGGCAUUCACAGCUGCUUGAUCUUCUUGGAGUUGGCUUUCUUUCUUUCUUUCUUUCUAGGAUAUCCAAAAUUCUUUAAAACCCCUUUUACCCGUAAGCCUUAAGUUUCUGCCACUCCAGUACUGAACAGGAUCAUGGCAUCUUAUCACUUUUAAGCAGGUGCUUUUAGUCUGGUGCUAAAAUGACUACCGCUGCUAUUUCCUGACACAGCAUCACCUGAGCUUAUAAAACCCCUCCUCAUAGGAAAAGUUUCCACUUCAUUCUUGAUUGAGAUUUUGCUAAAGGAUCACCCUCAACAGGUUCUGUUAAUGUUUCUGAUGUUUAAACUCCUGGUGGUAUCAGAAGAACACUUUCGCCGUGCUUUCUUUUCUGAUACUUGGCCCUUCCUCGACUUUUAAGGUUUCUGGAUUUGAAUAAUAACUUAGGUUUACUUCAAUGGCUCCUAAAAUAUUUAACAUUUUUGUUGAUAGCAGCAGAAUAUGGAUACAUUUCUAAUGCCCUCUUUAGUUCUGUCAAUCCACUAUCACCUUGGGGGAACUCUGUUGAGAUUCCCACAUAAAAUCCUGUCUCUUCCUCUCUUCCGCAGGUAGAGCUGGGAGGAAUUGCUGGAUAUGAGGACUUGUGUUCUCACUAGCUUUCCUAGUGCUUUCUGGCCCCCACUUUAAGGUUACUUUUAUUUCUUAGGAGCUUAUUUCUCGAGAUUGUGUCCUGUUUCAUCCUCUAUUCUAAAGAGAUGGGACAGUGAUCAUUUGGGGUUUGCCCAAAGAAUUCACUGUGUAAACAAAUCAUCCAAACUCAACUUUCUGAGGUGGAAACAUUCAGACAGGGACUUACUCACUCUGCUGAAUAACUAGACCUCAGCCUGGUUUAUUCUUGCCUAGCCUGGCUCCUCUGUAGUAUGUUUCAAGCUUCUUUAUUUCCAUGGAGUGCUAACUCCAUAAAUUUCUUAAGCUCAUUCCCUCUGGACACAGAGAAUAUCACUAUCUUUUUCUGUGGAAGCUCAUCCACGUGGUAGAGCUUACGAUCAUGGACACUGAUCCUGGUCUUUCACAUCUCCCCAUUCCCUCCUCCUUUUUAAAAAACAAAAAACAACCAAAAAAAAAAAACUAAAAACAAAAACCGAUUUAAUGAAAUAGUAUUGUUAUUCCCACUUUUUUUUUUUUUUGGUCUUUUUGCCUUUUCUAGAGCCACUCCCGCGGCAUAUGGAGGUUCCCAGGCUAGGGGUCGAAUUGGAGCUGUAGCCACCCGCCUACGCCAGAGCCACAGCAACGCGGGAUCCGCGUCUGCAUCCAACACCACAGCUCAUGGCAAUGCCGGAUCCUUGACCCACUGAGCAAGGGCAGGGAUGGAACCUGCAACCUCAUGGUUCCUAGUCGGAUUCGUUAACCACUGAGCCACGACGGGAACUCCUCCCUUCUCCUUUUAACUGUUUUUCAAGAAAUGGCUCCAUUGUUUAUUCAGCCUCUAUCUACAACUUGAAGAGGUAUUUCUGAAUGGUUUCUCUAGGACCCUUGAGAGGCACCACCUCAGUCUCUCACUGAGAUAUUGUCUCUUUGCUGGUAGAUUUAUUUUGACCUUAGAUAUACUUAUCUAAUGACAAGAAAAAUGCCUGGCCUUUUCCAAGUUUCCGUAUUAAAAGUAGUUCAACCCGAUGCAUCCGUUUUCCCUUUCAAAUAUAUUUAGACGGGCUUCCAAUAACUAAUUUCCUGUAGAUAUCCAUCUUAUCUACGUGUCAAGCUUUCUCAGUGAGAUCUCUCUCCUCUUUCAGCCUCAUCAUGCUCUGUCUUUUUAUUUUUCUUUUAUUACUUCAUUGCUCUGAUUCUGGUACUUAGGGUAAAAUUUAGAUCUUUUUCCCCCUAGUUCCUCCUUGACUUCCGGAACAGAACUGACUCUUUGAGAGACUGUUCCACCUAUAGGCCUUUCUUACCAUCUUUAUUGAUGUAUUAGCAUUGGAUUUGCAACAAAAAUACAGGUAGCUGCUUUUCUAAGUUCAAAAAAAGCCAAUAGCCUGUUUAUAAUAAAGGCUCCCAUUCCUUUUUAAUAAAUAUUUCCACCCUCUUGUAAACAGAAGCACAGUCAAGGACGCUGAUAUUUUUCAAUCCUAUUCAAAGUCUAUGUAAUUAACCUCUCUGGAGCCAAUUUCAGACCAUUUGGUGAGGGUUUAAACUUUUAGCCAUGACAAAGCCCAUGAGUCAAAGAGCUGUGCCCUAGUCCAGUUCUUUCCAUUGGCUCUAAGCUGUGUUCAAAAUAACAUAGAAAGGAACAGCACUUGGAUGCUGGAUCUAGUUUUGCCUACUAUGCCUGGCAGGAACCAUACUGGUGCUUUGUGGAAGCCAGCUGCCUCUGCAGCGUCACAUCCCAUAUUGCAGAUACAGCUGAAUCACCAAAUAAAAGCAGCAAAAUAUGGCUCAAUCUUCCCAUACCACGAGUCCAAACCAAGAGGCCUAGAUACUACAAUUCUGCCAGUCUGUAAUAAUUUAGACGCGUAAUAAAAGUCUUACUCUUCAUUCCAACACUGAGUUUCAUUUGCUCAACUAAAAUCUAUUUCUGCUCAGAUCAAGCAGUAUCACCUGCAGCAGCUUGGUCUCCGACGCCUGUUAUUUCUCACUAAGCUCAAGAAGCCUGGUUUCCUAUUAAACAUUUUCUCUGUGUCUACAGAAACCAGACACACAAAAACCCAACAAGCAAACAAACUAGACACAAUUAACACCUCUUACCUGCCAGAGAGGUCCCCGUCCUAGGUUGUAACAGCAGCCUUCAAAUCUGCGCCAUCUUGUUCCCCAAAUGCCGGUUUUUUAAAAGCUGCAGACUAAGGCCCACAAUGUUGGUAGGUUCAGGGAACCAAAAAAUAAUGCUCUUUUUUUCUCCUCCUGAGUUUGCACUGAUUGAGAGUGAGGCACUCUAGUUAGAGUGAUCCUUAAAAGUUAGCACUGCCAACUUUCUUAUGGAUAAAGCUGAAUGGAGUCACAAUGGGCUUUCUAAUAUUCACCCCUGAAUUAUUGAGCUCAUCCGACCAAGUCCAUAGCAUAGAAGGGAAAGCCUCGGGCCUCCCCCAAAAGGCAGAACCCACAUACUCAAGUAGCUUUGCAGUCAAGACAAACACCUCUGAAGGCCGGCAGAUCCUGAUGAAAAAGCCCGAGGUGGUUAAACCAAGCUUGUUCUGUUCUUGCUCUUAAAUUCACCAAUCAGAUAGCUCACCUGUUCUCCUUUGGGAAAGAAUUCGGGAGUAGGAAGGAGUAGGAAAAGCCGUAAAUAGUCUAAUAAUUUUCUCUCCCAGGCCAUGAGGUAGAAAAAUCUCCUCCAUGUAUGGAAAUGUGGCUCCUGAGAAAUAUAAAUUUUUGCCUCUAACAGACAUCUCAUAAUAUUGUAACAGUAAAAUAAAGGGAAGGCCUAUUUCUCUACUCUUCACAUUUUCGUUGGGGAGGGACUUCCCAGAGAGUAACGCCACUCAUUUUCCCCACCUGAAAGGGUUGAGU